rnacentral:rRNA from 1 species
AGAGUUUGAUCAUGGCCAAGGCGAAACAAGGUAAGUCGAAGCAGGGUACUAGAGUUUGAUCAUGGCCAAGUCGUAACAAGGUAAGUCGUAAAAUGGUAUGUGAGAAUCUGCCUAAUGGACUGGGAGAACGGUAGGAGACGGUAGCGGGGGUGCUUAUUCAAGUUCGUGAAAAGGUGAAUUCCGCCAUUAUAUGAUGUCGCGUCAGAUUCACUAGUUGGUGAGGUAACGGCUUACCAAGGCAACGAUCUGUAGCUGGUUUGAGAGGACGACCAGCCACACUGGGACUGAGACACGGCCCAGACUCCUACGGGAGGCAGCAGUGAGGAAUUUUCCGCAAUGGGCGAAAGCCUGACGGAGUAAUACCGCGUGCGGGAGGAAGGUCUAUUGACUGUAAACCGCUUUUAUCGAGAAAGAAUUUUGACGGUACUUGAUGAAUAAGCCUCGGCUAACUCCGUGCCAGCAGCCGCGGUAAUACGGAGGAGGCAAGCGUUAUCCGGAAUUAUUGGGCGUAAAGCGUCCGUAGAUGGUUUUGUCAGUCUGCUGUCAAAGCACAGGGCUUAACCCUGUAAAGGCAGUGGAAACUACAAGACUAGAGUGCAGUAGGGGCAGAGGGAAUUCCCAGUGUAGCGGUGAAAUGCGUAGAGAUUGGGAAGA